UCGCUGUUUCCCUUUCAUCCUUCCUCUGAGAUCAUUCUAGCCGUAAUAGGCACCCCUGUAACCCUGUUCCAGAACCUUCUCCCCUUAAUAGCUACAUCUGUGCCUACAUCCGAAGCUUUUGUCGAUGGGUGAAUUAUGCCGGUUUCGUGGGCUGCAUUGGGAAACAUAGCUAUUUUCCAAUCCUAGGGUUAGGCACUCCAGAACCUCCUGCUGAAUCACGUGCAAGCUCCUCUGCGUAUCAGCGUCAUGCUCCAGAGCCUCUGGCUACAGCUGGAUGCACCAUGGUUAUAGACAACACAUGAACCCUAUCACCUUUCUUCCGUGAAUUCCGCCCACCGUCGUCCCACCACUGCCCAUCGUUCUGCACCUAAUCUCCUAGCUAUAGCCAAUUCAGAUGUAGCUUUUCAAAAUCCAGUUGUGGAUUCUGCUUUCCAGGAUGUGCCUAAACUCUAGAUCAGAAGCCAGCUCUUCAUUCUUCUUUACAGAUGCUGUCAUGGUGGUUCUUAUGAGGAGUGAUUCAUGGCUAUGGUAGCUGAUAGUGCUCCAAUGAGGCAAGGAUCUGAUUCUACUUAUGGUUUACGGUGUUUGUUUUUAAGAUGCUGCAUGGCCAUAUAGAAAAAGGCAUUAGACCAUAGUUCCCUGUUGAAAGAAAAUGGGCUUUUGGCCUUCACAUACAGUGGAUGGGAAAAAGUAGGAAUUAAUCAAGGCCAACAGAAAAAGGAGACUAUGCAGAUGUGAAUUCUGCUAAUUUGAUUUAUCCAUCCAACUAACAUUCAACAUGGCAUUUUCAUUUUGUCGGUUACUGUUUCUGAUCUGAUUGUCCAGUUUUGUCAUGAAUUCUGCCUCUGAUCUUCUUUCCAUGCUGUGUGGAAUUUUAAUUUGACUGAUGUAUAUUUUGUUUCAAUGGUAAAGGGUAAAAAGGCUUCAGAGUAAGAUGAAGAAAAGAUAGAAGCUAGGACUGAGUAAAAUAGUGAGUAAAAGAGCCUUCAGUUGUUGGCUUCAGCUGCCUCCAGCCACAAAGUGUGCCAGAGAUGUAGCCACACAACCUAGAAAGCAGAAUCAAAAGCUGGUUUUCGAGGUAGGGUGUAGAUCAUAGAUCACCGAUGGAGUGCAUCAAAAGCUAAUUACAUAGUUCUUUUCAUCUGAGAUGUAGCUUUUUCUUUUAUAAAACGAGGCAUUGAUAAGAGGAAAUUCAGAUGUAGCUUUUCAAAAUCCAGUUGUGGAUUCUGCUUUCCAGGAUGUGCCUAAACUCUAGAUCAGAAGCCAGCUCUUCAUUCUUCUUUACAGGUAGGAUUGUUCUGGCUUUGGGGAUUUUGAUUUGGUGGAGACAUAUGCACUGAGAGGAUUCGAAAGGUGUUUCAUACUAUCUGUGUUGUCAAUUUUCAAGGUGUUUCUAAAGGUAUUCUUUUAACCCUGCUAUGCUACUCCUGUUUUAACUCCUAGAAAGCAAACUCUAAUGGGGAGGUUGUGAAGGUGGUAAUAAGAUUGGUGUUGGAUAUGAUAAACUUGUAUAUUAUAUUUGAAAUUGAGUGAGAAAGAUAGCAUCAAGAUACACUGCACAAAUGACAUUCAAAGGAAAAUCAAGGUUUCUAAUUUAGUUAGACAUUGAAUUAUCAUAAAUUUAGCAUCUAGGAUCCAGUUUCAUGAAACAAAUUUGGUCAACCACAUAUUUUGUCCUAUCUUUAUUUGAUUAUUGUUCCUGACUUUCACCUAGAAUUUGCAGAAGUGUAUUUGUUUUGAUAGUGCUUGAGACUCACUUUGACAGUUUUGCUAAUAUCAAAAUAUGAGAAAAAAGAAAAAAAAAACUUUUGUAUCCAUGAGCUUCAUUUCUCUCUUGCCAAAGAUUAAGAUUUGAGACUAAUAAGUUGGUUACAAGGUUCACAGAGCAAAUAAUUUAUAGAGCUCCCUGAACAUUCUUUAUCGCAGUAACCAGUAAGUGGAUAGAAAUACCAGGAAACUUUAAAAUGGGUAAAAUGUUGUAAAUCAACACAAGGUGUCAUAUUAGUAUGUUAAUGUCUCCUCAAGCAUCCAAAAUUAAGGGGAGAACUACCUAUAUAAUGAAUUUUAAAAACCAAUAUAGAAUGGUUUUCCACAAUCUGAAGGCUGUAUAUGUGGUUUUCAAGAGCCACAAGUAGAGAUAUAUUUAGAUAACAUGAGGCAAAAAAGUGGCAGCUGCACUGAUUUGCUAGAUGAUAAUUUGAAGCCAUUCAUGGAAUUUCACAUGCUAUCUGAAACUGCAACCCUGAUCAAUACUAAGUUCAUCUUACCCCUGUCAUGCAUGUUUAUCACAGGUUUAAGGUCUGGUUUUUCCAAGCUGAGGUGUUGGUCUGAUAAGGUAGGAUUAGGAGGGGAUUUAUGAGGAUUGUUUUUUCAGGAGUUUGCUGUGCGUGAUUAGCUUGGGAAUGUUGUGUCUUAUAAGCCCCAACUACUCAUGCUACAUUUUUCUUUCCUCUUACCCUCUAAGGUUUAUUUAAUCUUAGUUGGUUGUUUCUUCUCUUUGUAACUGGAUUUUGGCACCCCUUGUGCUAAAUCUUAAUAAAUCAUUGCUUAUAAAAAAUAAUACUAAGUUCAUCAUUCGAAACUCAUUCAAUAUGAAGUCAAAUCGUAGAGAACCAACUUCUCAUAGCUUUUACCUAUGUAAACAAUGAUUUUGGUUUUACCGUGAUUCUCGAAUGAGUUCCAAACAUGCACUAAGUAGAAAAGAUGUAGUUUACCUUUAAAGCUUAACAAGUCACAAUUUUUUGGGUCCAGACCACAUGUCAAUUAUUGAUUUCUUUUUUGUUUAAUCUUACUAAGCAAAGGUUAUAAAGAUCCUAAUCCAAAGAAUUAACCCAUAAUGCCUCCUCACUUACAAUCAAAGGACUAAUCAUAUAUUUCUCUUUCAAAUCUUUUAGGAAAGUAAUGGGUGCACACAAAACUUCACUUACACUUAGUGCGGGAUAAGAAGAGAAGAUAAAAGUCUCUUCCAAAAAAAUUAUGAAUAAAAAUGAUAUUAUUUCACAAAUUAGAGUUGACUAAUCAAAUAUAUGAUACGAAUCACUUUAGUGACAUAAAAUGAGUAAAUUUGACCCAGUUAGUCAUGAAUUUUGCACAUAUUGAAAAUGUCUCAUUUUUCUUGGGGGUCAUUCUGAUGAGUACAUGGUAUGCAUCUUAAUAGAGUUAGUUGCCUGGAACUCUGGCUACUGCCAGUUUCAUAUCUUCAUGUUCCCGCACAAAAGACUACGGUUGCUCUAACUUGAAAAAUGCUCACUGACUCUCGCGGAGGUUAAUAAAAAUAAAGUUCCUCUAAUUGUCUAUUACUUCUUUUUACAUAUGUAGUUAUUGAAUUUAGGAUUGAGGACUGAUUGUAUUUAUUUACAUAAAUUGCUCUUGAAUUUUUGUUCCCAAUUUCUGGUAUCAUAACUUUUAAGGGGAUGUGUCCGAUGUGUGAAUUUAUUUCUAAUCCAAGAUAUAGAUGUUCUUGAACUGUUUAUUGUAUGGUGCUUAGUUCUGCUAUAUUUAGCUCACAAAGGCAUGAUACAUGAGAGAUGAUGGCAUGAGCAAUGGUCUAUUGUUGAGAUGUGAGAAUCUGUGGUUUUCUGUUGCUGAGAUGAAAAAUUUAAUUCUCUAUUUGGUCAGCAUAUGUGUGCCAACCACUUAGACCAAAUAUCUAUUGCAGACAUUGCAGAUGUUAUCAAAGGGUCUGAUUCCACAUACAGCUCAGCGGAUAUAUUAGUUUUAUUAGAGAAGUUGCAAGAGGACAAUAAGAGAACAAUAGAGUGAUGAUAGUUGGUGGAAUGGUGCGUAUGAUAUCAAGUUGAUCAGUGCACAAUCUCUUGAAUGGAGAUUCAUGUAGGGAACAAAAAUUGCUGCCAUGAAGUAUGCAGUUUACAUUGGUGGAACACUUAGAGAAGGAUUUUCAAUGUUCAGAAUUUAGACCUAUUUACUUGCUGGUUGGGAGCUUUCUGCUAAUACUGCAAACAAGGAGAUAGAUAAUCUAUGUGGCUGUGUUGGACAUAUUCAUUACUGAGUUUUUGGGGCCCUCUUUGAAAGUUCUUUAGUUUUGUCCAUAAUUUGACUCCACCUAGCUAUAUCUUGAUGUAUUUCAGUGCUGCAAACCUUCAAUAUUUAAUUUGUUUUGGGGCAGAUUUAUCCAGCAGGCGUUUGGUAGGA